rnacentral:rRNA from 1 species
UACGAAGGGGCUAGCGUUGUUCGGAUUUACUGGGCGUAAAGCGCACGUAGGCGGAUCGUUAAGUCAGGGGUGAAAUCCCGGAGCUCAACUCCGGAACUGCCUUUGAUACUGGCGAUCUUGAGGCUGGAAGAGGUUAGUGGAAUUCCCAGUGUAGAGGUGAAAUGCGCAGAUAUCAGGAGGAACACCGGUGGCGAAGGCGGCUCUCGUGGGCCUGUCCUGACGCUCAGGCGCGAAAGCUAGGGGAGCGAACAGG